UACGUAGGGUGCGAGCGUUAAUCGGAAUUACUGGGCGUAAAGCGUGCGCAGGCGGCGCGUUAAGACAGGUGUGAAAGCCCCCGAGCUUAACUUGGGAAUUGCGCUUGUGACUGGCGUGCUGGAGUGUGGCAGAGGGAGGUGGAAUUCCACGUGUAGCAGUGAAAUGCGUAGAGAUGUGGAGGAACACCGAUGGCGAAGGCAGCCUCCUGGGCC
rnacentral:rRNA from 1 species